CCUACGUGAGGCAGCAGUGGGGAAUAUUGGGCAAUGGGCGCAAGCCUGACCCAGCAACGCCGCGUGAAGGAAGAAGGCUUUCGGGUUGUAAACUUCUUUUGUCAGGGAAGAGUACAAGACGGUACCUGACGAAUAAGACACGGCGAACGACGUGCCAGCAGCCGCGGUAAUACGUAGGUGGCAAGCGUUGUCCGGAUUUACUGGGUGUAAAGGGUGUGUAGGCGGUUUGGCAAGGCAGAUGUGAAAUCCUGCGGCUUAACCGCAGAACUGCAUGUGAAACUGUUGAUCUUGAGUACUGGAGAGGCAGACGGAAUGCCUAGUGUAGCGGUGAAAUGCGUAGAUAUUAGGAGGAACACCAGUGGCGAAGGCGGUCUGCUGGACAGCAACUGACGGUGAGGCGCGAAAGCGUGGGGAGCAAACAGGAUUAGAUACCCCUGUAGUC
rnacentral:rRNA from 1 species